rnacentral:rRNA from 1 species
CAGGGUUUGAUCCUGGCUCAGAUUGAACGCUGGCGGCAGGCCUAACACAUGCAAGUCGAGCGGAUGAAGGGAGCUUGCUCCUGGAUUCAGCGGCGGACGGGUGAGUAAUGCCUAGGAAUCUGCCUGGUAGUGGGGGAUAACGUCCGGAAACGGGCGCUAAUACCGCAUACGUCCUGAGGGAGAAAGUGGGGGAUCUUCGGACCUCACGCUAUCAGAUGAGCCUAGGUCGGAUUAGCUAGUUGGUGGGGUAAAGGCCUACCAAGGCGACGAUCCGUAACUGGUCUGAGAGGAUGAUCAGUCACACUGGAACUGAGACACGGUCCAGACUCCUACGGGAGGCAGCAGUGGGGAAUAUUGGACAAUGGGCGAAAGCCUGAUCCAGCCAUGCCGCGUGUGUGAAGAAGGUCUUCGGAUUGUAAAGCACUUUAAGUUGGGAGGAAGGGCAGUAAGUUAAUACCUUACUGUUUUGACGUUACCAACAGAAUAAGCACCGGCUAACUUCGUG